rnacentral:tRNA from 1 species
GAUUCCGUAGCUCAGUUGGUAGAGCACCUCCCUUUUAAGGAGGGGGUCCUGGGUUCGAGCCCCAGCGGGAUCACCA